UUGGAUCACCUCCUAACAGGGAGACAAACAACGAUUUUGAUGUCUGAGUUAUUUAUUCUUAGGCCAAAAUCCUGUCACAUUAGGUCGAUCGGUACCUCAACUUUUAAGCUAAGAGAGUUCCAGCAAUGGUUGUCUGCUUAGUGGAGAUUUUUAGUUCCUAAACUUUGUCUAGUUCACAACCCAUUAGAGAUGAGACUCCUGGGCCAUUAGCUCAGGUGGUUAGAGCGCACCCCUGAUAAGGGUGAGGUCCCUGGUUCAAGUCCAGGAUGGCCCAUUCGGUGUAGGGGGUUUAGCUCAGUUGGUAGAGCGCCUGCUUUGCAAGCAGGAUGUCAGGAGUUCGAGUCUCCUAACCUCCACUGACUACCAAAAUCCCCAUCUCCAAAACCUGGAGUAUGAACUCGUAUGGAUUGUGAUUUAGAUGUGUCCGCUAGAUGACCCUAGCUUCUUGUCAUUUUAAGGCAUGGAAAUGAUUCCAUGAUAUUUAAUUGAUAGGAUGCUGGGCUCGAUGCAAUGUAUUGAGAGAUCAAUGCAUUGUUUUGAUGUCUGGCCGAACCUUGACAACUGCAUAGUAAGUCUGGAAAGAAUAAAGCAUCUUUAUGGAUGCAUCAUUCUUGAGUGUUAAUUCACGAUGGGAUGGUGUUAAUUCUAAGCAAGAGCCGAGACUCCAGCAUGUUCUUUCAAAUGUGUCGAGCAUUUGAGAGUUUGAUUUUAAUUUCUACUUGUAGAAGUUAGAAGAAUCUGUUUCAACGACAGCAAGCGUGUUGGAGAUACAUUGGUCAAGCUACAAAGGGCUCACGGCGGAUACCUUGGCACACAGAGGCGAUGAAGGA
rnacentral:tRNA from 1 species